UUAGCAUAGAUUUUGUAGUCCUAGUGUUACUUUUAAGUAAUAUUCAGGUGACCGAUUAAGCCUGCGAGUCUCCCCUUUAUAUUUUGUCAUGAAACUGAUAGAGUUAGUUUGCUUGCCAAAGUUAUCUUUAAAAAAAUAGUUAAGAUUUCUAACGUGAGCAAAAUUUCACUUGUCUGAUUUCUUGUCAUUCCAGCACUCAUUUCCACUUUGGUUUUUCAGCAUCCUGGGCCUAAUUGUGAUGGUGGCACCCUGACCACAGAAGCAUUUCCUGUCCCUUAAAAAGAGAAGGUUACUUUACAAUCUGAUCCCUAUCUGGAGACAGUGUUUGGAUAAAGGUUACUGGAGAAGCCUUGCUGAUUGAUGAGGAUAAAUUUCCUGAGACUCUGGCAUAUGGUUGGACUUGGAGAGCUUUAUUGCUGUAGAAAAUGUCAGGACUGUGGAGUGUUGUGACCUUGUUGGUGGUAAACAGAAGACUGUGACCUUGAAUCUGAAGAUCUGUGAUGGAUGUUUGGGGUCACUCUGUUACAGU